rnacentral:rRNA from 1 species
GGGGAUAAAUUAAUAAUUUUUUUAUUAAAAAAAUAAAUUAUAAAAAAAAAAUAUUUAGGGGGGUUUAAGUAUUUUUAAAUGAAAAAAAUUUAUAGUUUUAUAGUGUAAAGUAUAGUGUUAGAAAUUUGAAAUAAAAUUAAAAAUUAAUUUAAUAAAAAGUAAUUUUAAUUUAAUGUAUCUUG